rnacentral:rRNA from 1 species
ACGUAAGGGGCAAACGUUGUUCGGAAUUACUGGGCGUAAAGGGCAUGUAGGCGGUUUAGAAAGCGUGGCGUGAAAGACCACGGCAUAACUGUGGGGUUGCGUUGAGAACUGCUGAACUUGAGUUACGGAGAGGGAGCUAGAAUUCCUGGUGUCGGGGUGGAAUCUGGAGAGAUCAGGAAGAAUACCGUUGGCGAAGGCAAGCUUCUGGCUGAUAACUGACGCUGAGGUGCGAAAGUGUGGGGAUCAAACAG